CCGGAUCCUUAACCCACUGAGUGAGGCCAGGGAUCAAACCCGCAACCUCUUGGUUCCUGGUCGGAUUCGAUCACCACUGAGCCAUGACAGGAACUCCGAAAUGUGUUUCGUAAAUAGCAAGACUUCAAAGGCAGAGUGACUCCUCGACCCACAGGCUGCAGCGUGGCUGCUGUGUUAGCAGACGCUAAAGAAGUCUAACCCCAGCGCGCGUCUCCAUCAGAGCUCUUGGGGGACCAGGCGAACAGUAAUAAUUUGAAAAGAAUCUUUUUUCUGACUUUCAGGUCUCAACAGUGGGGUUAAAGUAUUCAGUGGGGGAGUUCUCAUUGUGGUGCAGCAGAAACGAAUCUAGCCAGUAUCCAUGAGGUUGCGGGUUUCAUCCGUGGCCUCACUUAGUGGGUCAGGGAUCUGGCGUUGCCCUGAGCCGUGGCGUAGGUCACAGAUGGGGCUCAGACCCUGAGUUGCUCUGGCUGUGCAACCCCUAGCCUGGCAACCUCCAUAUGCCACAGGUGCAAAAAAGCAAAAAAAAAAAAACAAAAAACAAAACACUCAGUAAACCGUGUUGUCAGCAGACGUGCCGUCAUCCAGGCUUUGUUCCACGUCCAGAGCACAGGCCGAGUGGCUUUAGCGUCCUCCUGAAGGACACUGGGACAUGUGAAAUCGCCAACGAGCCCUGGCUUCACCUGAAAGUCACCAGCCGCAUGAGCCCCCAGCAGAGUCGGCCUGGCCUCCGAAGCUUUGACGCCCGGCGCGGACGUCCCCCUCCAGCCCUCGAAGUCCUAGCUGGCGUCUCCUGACACCAGGAGGCUGUCUGGUGGCCCCUGAACAUCUGUCCGCGUGGCCACCUUCCUGGGUGAUCCGAGCUGCAGCUUCUCCCUCGGCUCGUGCCCCUCGCCGCGCGCUUCGGAGCUGUGGAGGCGGCCUCUGUGCUUCGGCCUCGUGACCCGGCCUCUGCGGGUGGGUGUCUGCUCAUUGCCUCCUGCAGCUCCCUCGCCUGCGGCAGCCUCUGCAGAAUCGGAGAGAGUGCGGGCCCUGCUCCGGUCGAGGCCUCGGCUUAGGGGCGUGUGGCUGCUCUCAUCUUCUGUCCGGAGCAGCGCAGCCUUCUCCACGGCAGCAGGGAGGCUGUUUGGCGCGCUCCUCCCUUGGGUGCUCCCUGGAUCCGUGCUUCCACUCCCUUCGAGAAGGCCGCCUUCCUCUCACGACUCAGAUGCCCGUUUGGCACAACGGACUUCUGUCUCCGCUUCUGCACGAAGCUCGGUCUCGUCUGGUUUUUGAUGGAAAGUGAGAGACACGCGACUCUCCCUUCCCUGGGAGCCCGGCGAGGCCGCUGCAGGCUUGUGGAUUGGCCUCAUUUCCACAUCGCGUCUCAGGGAAGAGGGAGGCCCGAGGACGGGAGGGGGGGCUCGUGGCCAGUCACGGGGGCGGUCAGAGCGCACCUGGCCACAAGGUCACGGUCUCACAUGCACACAGCUUGUGGUGUCCAAAGCAGUUAACCACACCCCCCUCAAAGCCCCGGUCACACCUCACCGUAACAAGUGACAGUAAUGGAAAAGUUUGACAUGUGAGAUUGACCAAAAUGUGACCCAAAGUGAGCAGAUGCUUUUGGGGAAAUGGUGCCAGUAGACGCUCAGCAGAGUUGCCACAAAGCUGCAGUUUUUUGAAAAUGCAGUAUCGGCAAAGUGCAACACCGUGAGCUCUGCCCCUGCUGGUGAGGGUCUCCGGGCCAGGCUGCCAGCCCCGCGCAGCACCUGGCAGUCAGGGAGCCUGCCCCACGCAGGACGCUCCCCAGAGAUCCCCAAGGGCCCUGGCUGCAGGCUGAGUGCUGAGGGAUGAGUGUGAAGUGUGUCGAGUGGACCCAGUUUCUCCACGGCACCCGGCUCAGUACCACAGAGGCGCUCUUUCCUCAGUGGGUGCUCUCAACAAUUAAUCUUCCUGUCGCCUGGGCAGUGCCUCCUCCCCGUGGUUGGAUCCCAGCUGCCACUCCAGUCCCGCGGCUGCGGGCAGGCGCCUCUCGCGUCUGAAAAGUGAAGGUGGGGGUGCUUUGGCGACACCGUGCGCGCCGGCUCUCAGCACUGUGCGUCUGGGCUCCACUGAGCAGAGGUCUUACCUGCUGAGGUGUUCACAGUUCUAGAACACACUGCGGCCAGACUGACCCCCAGGGUCAAAGCACUGCCCGCCUUUGCUGAGAAAGAUCUAAGUGCUUGUUCCCAGGGACCAUUCAGUGGACGCUUGUUGAAAGAGGAAGUGAGCGGAUCAAAGCGUUUCUUCUCGGAAACACCAGCAGCUUGUAUUUCCUUCCCCCCUUGUUUACACCUGCCCCCUGCCCCCAGGGCGUCAGGGUGUCAGGCUCUGCAGGUUGCAGGUCCAGAACCACAGCCCGGCCUGGGAGGGACUGCCUGACCCCUCACAGGACCGGGCCGGGCGUGCAGCCCCUCCCUGCACAGAAGCUGCCUUCCUCCUCCUCCCCGCCCCGCGUCCUCACUCCUGUCCCCCGCCCCCAGCUUUAACGUGCUCUCGUCCUGUGACAACCCCAGUGUGUGUUCAUGGUAGAAAGUCAGAAAGAAGCCAGGAGUCACUCCUGGUCGCCAUCCUGCAGAAGACGAGGUGGAAAGCUGUCCCAUCCGUCGGGAUCUCCGAGGCCUCCCGUCCUGGAUGCUGAGAUGCAAAGAAGCGGGAAGCAGGCGUACAUUUGAGGAGCUCACACCGUAAAUUAAGAGCCCUCUGGACACUAUGGGGAGCAGAAGGCACAGAGCAGAGUGACCUGCAGGCCUCGCCCCCAGCCCUUGAGUGUAAUGAAGUCCCGAAGCAGGUGCACUGACACACAGCAGGAGCUUGAGUUCCUAGGCCCUCCCUCGGCCGCGUGCUAGGACCUGGCCGCUCUCCACCCAGGGAUCACGGGAUCCCUUGCGCUCCCGUCUGGCGGCUGCUUCUCGCCCUGGGGCUGCCUGCCCGGCGUCUCACCGGGCUCUGUUGGAGCCUGACAGCUUCUCCCAGCCCCAAGGCCGGGGCGCCCCCCGACCCACUGUGGGGGGACUUCGUUCUGCUCUUCCUCCCUGAGGUGCCCCUGCUCUCCAGAGGAGCUGUGCAAAAUGACACUGGAACCUGGACGCCCUCCCUUCCCGGCCUGCAAGUGGUCAGGUCAGCCGCGCCUGUGACGCCCGACACACCCACACUCGGGGAACACACUGGAUCCUUGGCCAGCUCACCCCAGUUCCUCAGGCCAGACCUUCCCCCUCUGGCUGUGUGUGAACCCCUUGCUCGCAAUCCCCCCGGGCCCCCCGAGGGUCCCACAGCCGCCGUCCCGGGAGAGCCUUCCAGACGUGGGGCCGUCCUCCCUCUCCCACGCCCACCCGGGCCACGGCUUUGAGUCCCUCCGCCCUGGGGCUUUCUGUCCUCUGCCUGGGCUCCGACUGGCCCGUCCCUCUCUCCCCAAGGCCAGAAACGGGGGUUGCGAGCCAGGGAUUAAUGGCACAGCCUAAGCUGCCGAAAGCCACGGGGCCCAUUGGAAGGCCUGAGCUUAAAGGUAAUUUUCCUUCUCUGUAAAGGCCACGCAUUUAGCCCAAAUGGGCAGAGUCAGGAGACAGUCAGCCAGCAGGGGACAGGGAGCAGCCACAGCCCAGAUGGCCACCGGAGAAGCGCGAGCAACUGUCCCCAGCCUGAGACCCGAGACGGCCCCUGACCUCUUCUCCUAGAGGCUCGCCGCCGCGGCCCCUCGAGCCCGGCCGCCGCCACCGCCAGUGCCCGGGCGGGCCCUACAGUGAGCCCACCAGGAAGCGAUGAGGACACAGACGCUUGUAAAUACACAGUGACUGAUUCAAGGGGCAGGCUGCAGAGGCGCCGACAUGGGGCUCAAGCUGACCUGCCUGAAAGGCUUAAAAAUGUGUGUCAGCGGCAGCAGCCACGACGAGGCCCCCGUCCUGAGCGACAAGCACCUGGAUGUUCCCAACAUCAUCAUCACCCCGCCGACCCCCACGGGCGUCACCCUGCCGAGGGACUCCCGCAGGGCAGUCUGGCUGGAUGAGUCGGGGUCCUGCCCGGAGGAUGGAGAAAUAGACCCUGAGGCCUGAGAGGAGGACGCACAGCUGGGGGAUUUGUCCACCUCGGCUCCAGCUCCGGCUGCCCCUCCCGCUGCGAGCCCCGGGGGCCUGGGACAGAUGGGCACGGAGUGCAGAGCGCCAGGGGCUCCCGACCCAGCGAGGCAUCGGGAUGAGCAAGGAGUCGCCCCACCCACUCGCAGAGCCACGUGUUUCCCAGACUCUAGUGCCUGCCCGCGCGUCCUCGCCAGCCUGGGUCACGGCGAUGGCCAUCGGGGUGCCAGCAGGAGGCUUUCUCCUGGACAGACGUAGACGCCCGGUGCCCAGGAGGUCAGCACACACAAGGACUUCUUGCAAAGGACUGGCUCCAUUUUUUACGUGUUGUCUUACAGACAUUGAAACAGUCCAAAAAGCGAUUUAUAACUUCUUUUUUGCAUCAUAAAUAAAGAUCCCGUGUCAAGAGA